rnacentral:rRNA from 1 species
CGACAGGAUGCUAAUCCCAAAAACCUCUCUCAGUUCGGAUCGAAGUCUGCAACCCGACUUCGUGAAGCUGGAUUCGCUAGUAAUCGCGCAUCAGCCAUGGCGCGGUGAAUACGUUCCCGGGCUUGUACACACCGCCCGUCAAGCCAUGAAAGCCGGGGGUACCUGAAGUACGUAACCGCAAGGAGCGUCCUAGGGUAAAACUGGUAAUUGGGGCUAAGUCGUAACAAGGUAAC